UACAGAGGGUGCAAGCGUUGUUCGGAAUUAUUGGGCGUAAAGCGCGUGUAGGCGGCGUGACAAGUCGGGUGUGAAAGCCCUCAGCUCAACUGAGGAAGUGCGCCCCGAAACUGUCGUGCUUGAGUGCCGGAGAGGGUGGCGGAAUUCCCCAAGUAGAGGUGAAAUUCGUAGAUAUGGGGAGGAACACCGGUGGCGAAGGCGGCCACCUGGACGGUUACUGACGCUGAGACGCGAAAGCGUGGGAGCAAACAGG
rnacentral:rRNA from 1 species